rnacentral:rRNA from 1 species
UACGAAGGGGGCUAGCGUUGCUCGGAAUCACUGGGCGUAAAGGGUGCGUAGGCGGGUCUUUAAGUCAGGGGUGAAAUCCUGGAGCUCAACUCCAGAACUGCCUUUGAUACUGAGGGUCUUGAGUCCGGGAGAGGUGAGUGGAACUGCGAGUGUAGAGGUGAAAUUCGUAGAUAUUCGCAAGAACACCAGUGGCGAAGGCGGCUCACUGGCCCGAUACUGACGCUGAGGCACGAAAGCGUGGGGGAGCAAACAGGGA